CCUACGAGUGGCAGCAGUAGGGAAUCUUCCACAAUGGGCGCAAGCCUGAUGGAGCAACACCGCGUGAGUGAAGAAGGGUUUCGGCUCGUAAAGCUCUGUUGUGGGAGAAGAACGUGCGUGAGAGUAACUGUUCACGCAGUGACGGUAUCAAACCAGAAAGUCACGGCUAACUACGUGCCAGCAGCCGCGGUAAUACGUAGGUGGCAAGCGUUAUCCGGAUUUAUUGGGCGUAAGGCGAGCGCAGGCGGUUGCUUAGGUCUGAUGUGAAAGCCUUCGGCUUAACCGACGAAGUGCAUCGGAAACCGGGCAACUUGAGUGCAGAAGAGGACAGUGGAACUCCAUGUGUAGCGGUGGAAUGCGUAGAUAUAUGGAAGAACACCAGUGGCGAAGGCGGCUGUCUGGUCUGCAACUGACGCUGAGGCUCGAAAGCAUGGGUAGCGAACAGGAUUAGAUACCCGUGUAGUC
rnacentral:rRNA from 1 species